rnacentral:lncRNA from 1 species
GAUUACAGAAAAACGAAACUUUGGCUACCCAAGAAGGACGUCGGAAAGCUCGCCGGAGAAGAGAUCGGAGGAUCGGAUCUUGCUGUAUAACCGGAGGCAGAGAAUCAGAGCACUAGCACCGGCGGAUUCAAGGAGCACGGCGUUGCGGCAAGAUCGAGAGGAAGAGGAACGCCGGUGGAAGAAUCCGGAUCCCACCAUUGAAACCAAACCGCCGACUCACCAACCUGCUACACUCCUCCCGGAAUACCCAAUCGUCCGACAACCGGUUCCGAGAAGUCAGAACCCAUUCCUAGCAAACCGACGACCGGGAAUCUAUCCCCUCCAACCAAACCAGGAGCCUCGACAACCCCUGAGCCAAAACCAAUCACCCGGACCGGAGGAAACCCCAACGGAGGAUCCGGAAGAUGAUUGGCUCAAGCAAACAAACCAAAACCAAAACCCGAAGGGGCUAGUAAAGGAUCCAAAGAACCUACCGUGAACCGCCGAAUCAAAACAGCGAACCCACCGUUUCAUCUCUGACUUCCGUCGUAGCCACAACAACUAAAGGGACGGCUGAGCCAAGGAGAGGCUCUGAUACAACCGCCAGCGUCUUCAAACCAGGGUCAUGCGCAGCAGAGCACUCCACCGCCCGAUUGGAGCCGCCGCUACAUCAGAGAAGAGACACCACACCACCGCCGUCGGAGAAAAGAGACGCCCAUCACCUAAGCUCCAUUUCUGACAAUCGUCCACCAUCGAUGAGCUCUACAAGAAGAAAGAAACAAGAAGGGGAGGGAAAAGACACACAAGCACCAACGGCGCCGGUGAAGAUGCUUCCCCCUCGAUCUGUGCGGUUAGGGUUUUCAUGAGAGAGGAGAGAGUGUUUGGCGUUUGGGCCGCUCAAAGGCUUUUUUCCAAAUUCCUACUUUUCUCGAUCAGCAUUUCACAUGCCACAGGUUUCACUAUAAUGACCACUAAUUAUUUGCUUAUGGUGUUGGGUCUCGAGAUCAAGACUCUCACGAUCUCACACAUAGUUUUGUAAAAUAACAAGAACAAACCUAAUUAUAAUCACCCCAAUAUACGCCUAGGAUGUUAACGUUUUUCUUAUUUCAUUUUAGUUUCUUAGAAUUUUUGGUUUUAUCGAUUUCAUAAAAACUGAAACUAUAAAAAACUUCUAGAUUAAAUAUGUCGCUUUCCUAUAACGUAUCUCUUACGUCUUAAGGAAAUCGGAUUAAGUCUCGUAUCGGAUUGAAUAUCACAUAAAAAAAAUAGAUCGGAUUCUUGAAUGGAAUAUUUCAAAUAUGCAUUGGAAAGUUGAUUUUUGUGGGAUAGCUUAGGGAGUUAACGACAAAAAAAAAAAAAAAAAACAUGUUGAUUUCGGGGGUUUUUGUCAACCGUUAACAUUAUCUCUAGAGUUCUUAAUUAGUAUAGUGUAUAUUAUUAAUGAUCUCGUGGUUUAUAUUUCUAAUAACAUAAGUAGGUGAUGAUGAAUUUUUAUCUUCUAGUUUUUGUAUUUUUUUCUUACGC